rnacentral:rRNA from 1 species
AUUGAACGCUGGCGGCAGGCCUAACACAUGCAAGUCGAGCGGAUGAAGGGAGCUUGCUCCUGGAUUCAGCGGCGGACGGGUGAGUAAUGCCUAGGAAUCUGCCUGGUAGUGGGGGAUAACGUCCGGAAACGGGCGCUAAUACCGCAUACGUCCUGAGGGAGAAAGUGGGGGAUCCUCGGACCUCACGCUAUCAGCUGAGCCUAGGUCGGAUUAGCUAGUUGGUGGGGUAAAGGCCUACCAAGGCGACGAUCCGUAACUGGUCUGAGAGGAUGAUCAGUCACACUGGAACUGAGACACGGUCCAGACUCCUACGGGAGGCAGCAGUGGGGAAUAUUGGACAAUGGGCGAAAGCCUGAUCCAGCCAUGCCGCGUGUGUGAAGAAGGUCUUCGGAUUGUAAAGCACUUUAAGUUGGGAGGAAGGGCAGUAAGUUAAUACCUUGCUGUUUUGACGUUACCAACAGAAUAAGCACCGGCUAACUUCGUG